AUGCUUAAAAUGAGAUGUUUAUUUUUUUGCUACAAAACCUCCAAUCUGAAAAUGCCUUCAUAUAUCCCACUGUUUUGCAAUGUUUUUGUCCUUUUGAUGUUUAUUUGGGAUGUUAAAUGGGCUUUUAGAAAAUAUGUACCUUGUUGUUGGAAUAAUGUUGAUAUUGUUGAACUUGUUUCUUUGUUGUUGAGCUUUGAAGGAACUCUCUUGAUAACAAGUAUGCUUAACCCAUUUUAUCUUUUCUUUUCAUGUCAUGUGAUGAUAUGUUGA